CGCCAGUGUUGCGCCUCUCCGUGACAUUUCAACGCGUUGCCCGCCCGCCCGCUGUAUCAGCGCGCCGGUGUGAUGGGCCGCCUCCAGUGUGACAUUACCAGCCGUUAAAUAGGGCGCUCCUCCAAUACCCAGACUAGGUGGGUAACAAUUCACAGGAGAGGAAAUCGUUAAACGUGGCCAAUUGCUAUCAGGAGACCACUACAGACGUGAAAGGUGUGGAAAGGAAUUCGUGGCAUUCUAUUCCGAAGGGGGAGUCGCCAAGGCACAGAAUUCAAGUCGCGGACAAUCUGCAACGAUUUCUUCCUCAGAGACCCGGGUUCGAUCCUGAUUUCGGAUGCUGUCCGUGUGGAGUUUGCACGUUCUACCCGUUGCCACCAGUCGGAGGAAGGGUCCUAACCCGAAACGUCGCCUAUCCACGUUCUCCGCGGAUGCUACCUGACCCGCGGAGUUUGUGUCUUUGACCCAGCACUUUGUGCCUUUUUUUUUGUAAACCAGCAUCUGCAGUUCCUUGCGUCCCCCAGUGGCCGCGGGGGUUGAGACACUGUCGAGCUAGAGUUGGUAACACCGCCGUCUCCGUCACUAUUUACCCGUUUUCCAAAUCAUUUGGAUUUGCACAGCAUUUGAGACACCAUGUCAGGACUGUUCAGAUAUGCUCAACGCAGCUGCAGGAGCGGCUGCUUCACAUCACCAGACACCCGGGUUCGAUCCCGUCCUCGGGUGCUGUCUGUGUGGAGUUUGCACGUUCUCCCUGUGACCGCGUGGGUUUCCUUCGGGUGCUCCGGUUUGCACCCACAUGCCCAAAACGUGCGGCUUUGUAGGUCCCUCUGUAAAUUGCCCCGAGAGUGGAUGAGAAAGUGGGAUAACAUGGUACUAGUGUGAGCCGGUGAUCGAUGGUCGGCAUGGACUCGGUGGGUCGAAGGGCCUGUUUCCAUGCUGUAUCUCUAAACUCAAAUUAAACAAUAUAAACUUCUUAAAAUGUAUCUAUACCAAUUGCUUUGAAUCUAAAAUAUAAAUAUAUAAAACACGACCAAUCUGUCAAUAAUCGACACAUUAACGACUACUCUAAAAUAACACGACAAUUUCGAAAUUCAGACUGAAGAAGGGUCUCGACCCAAAACGUCACCCAUUCCUUCUCUCCAGAGAUCCUGCCUGUCCCGUUGAGUUACUCAUUCUGUGUCUAUCUUCGGUGUAGACCAGCAUCUGUAGUUGGUUCCUACACGAAAAUGCGAAUUUCUCAUUAGAUGAGAAGACAACAUCAAUGUUUGCUGUCGAUAUCGUUUGACCAUUUCAGGACAGUGCCGUUCAAAGCAAUUGGAAAAAAAAUCCCGUUUCAUUUAGAGUCAUACGGCAAGGAAACAGGCCCUUCGGCCCAACUCGUCUAUGCCAACCAAGAUGUCCCAUUUGAAUGGUCUCAUUUGCCCGCAUUUGGCCCAUAUUGAGUUAAACCUUUCCCAACAAUGUGGCUGUGUUUAACCGUCAUUUAAAUGCUUUUAUAAUACUUGCCUCAACUACCUCCGUUGGCAGCUCGUUCCAUUCACCCACCACCCUCUGAGUGAAAAAGUUGCCCCGUCAGGUUCCAAUUAAAUCUUUCCCCUCUCACCUUAAACCUGUGCCCUCCAGUUCCCGAUUCCUCAACUUUGUGGACUCUUUUGUGAUGAUUUAAGAGAGUCAAGAAUGUUUAAUUGUCAUGUGAAAUUCUUACUUGCAGCAGCAUGGCAGACCUGUAAGCCCAGUACCCAUAAUAUAUAAUAAAGAAAGCAAUUCAAUAAAUUAAUAGCUGCGAGAUUAGUGGCAAAACAAAACCGAAGUCUUUCGAGAAACCAAAACAGUUCGUGAUUUAUCCGUAAAUUUGACAAUUGACAAUUAAUUCGUAAAUUUAAUAAUUGCAAAAUUACAUGCCUUUUUGAUCUUAAGAAUUAAGCCUGAAAGAGGGGAAGUGAGUGAUUGCAAUUCUAGGUUCAAACCCUCGGCUAUUCCGCGUCCUUGCUGCCAUCUCCUGGAUUGCAGCGGUGCUGCCGUCGCAGUUUGAAAAUACCGAGAGCAAAGCACAUGCAAGGAAUCUUCCCUCUCGCCCUGGGAUGGCCCCGUUGUUCCACCUGCAAGACAUAAAAGGGAAAAAUAGAUUUCCUAGAUUGAAAAAUAAACGGAACAGCAUUUAAAUUAACACCCGACUGAAUUAUGCUUGUUUUUAAAAAAAAUUCAGAGUAAGAUCAAUUAGAGACCUACCAAAUAUUAUGCAGAAAUAAGGAACUGCAGAUGCUGGUUUACACAUGUACUGGAGUAACUAAGUCUGAAGAACUGUCCCGAGCCGAAAUGCCACCAAUCCAUCUUCUCCAGAGAUGCUUAGUUACUCCAGCACUUUCUGUCCUUUUACCAAAAAUAUUAGAUAUUUUAAUAUUUGUACCUAUUGCAUAUUAUUACAUAUUUAAGAGUACUGAUAAAUUUGAACUUAACCUAAUAUUUUCAUGGUUUCACUAUUCUCUCCCUUAAUGUUUUUGUUAUUGGAUUAAAAAAAUAUUGGAAACGUUAUUUGCGUCCUUGGGAUUUUCACGAACAGGAGGGUAUAUCAGAUCAGUAUCAUUAGUCUUGAGUCUACUUGGGGGAAAGUACUUCAGGGUAUGACUGAAAUAGACGACCUGUUGAAGAGCAACAUAAUAGUUGUUCAAAUGAAGAUAGCUGCUAGACCGGCGAAACCCCCCCAGGGGGCAGUGUCGAGCCGGGUAGGAAUUAAUUAGAGCCCUGGUUCACAUUAUAUUAGGUUGAAUAAGAUCUAUUGAUCUGUGGAAUAAAUCACUGCCCAUUAAAUCAUUUGGAAUUUACAGCUAAUACCAUUACCAUUGUGCAUAAAUAUUUCUGUGUAGUGAACUACUUUCCCAGUUCUUUGAUGGUCAGAGAUUGCUUUCCUCCUGGUUUCCAAGUGACGUGUUGUCCCGUUUAAAGUGGGAAGUUACGACCGCGUUUGAGUCAAUGUUUAAUAAUUCUUGGUGUCCCUGUGCCAAAAAAUGAAGGCAGUUAGUGGGAGUCCGGCUCUAAUCUGAAUCCAAAGGAGCAAAGCCAAAUCAGACAGUCAUACGGCAUCACCGCAGGCUCUUCGGCCCAACUUGUCCAUGCUGACCAAGAUACCCCACCUAGCUAGUCCCAAGUGGCUCACCC